rnacentral:rRNA from 1 species
UAGUGGAUGCCUUGGCGAUAAGAGGCGAUGAAGGACGUGGUACGCUGCGUUAAGCCAUGGGGAGCUGCGAACAAGCUUUGAUCCAUGGAUAUCCGAAUGGGGAAACCCGGCCCGCAAGGGUCAUCAUUAUCUGAAUACAUAGGGUAAUGAGGCGAACCUGGGGAACUGAAACAUCUAAGUACCCAGAGGAAAGGACAUCAAUUGAGACUCCG